rnacentral:rRNA from 1 species
GUAGGUGGCGAGCGUUAUCCGGAUUUACUGGGCGUAAAGCGCGUGCAGGCGGUUCCGUAAGUCGGACGUGAAAGCUCCUGGCUUAACUGGGAGAGGCCGUUCGAUACUGCGGGACUUGAGGUCGGGAGAGGGACGUGGAAUUCCCGGUGUAGUGGUGGAAUGCGUAGAUAUCGGGAGGAACACCAGUGGCGAAGGCGGCGUCCUGGCCCGCACCUGACGCUAAGACGCGAAAGCGUGGGUAGCGAACGGGAUUAGAUACCCCGGGUAGUCCACGCCGUAAACGGUGGAUACUAGGUGUUGGUGGCUAUCGUCAUCAGUGCCGUAGCUAACGCGUUAAGUAUCCCGCCUGGGGACUACGGCCGCAAGGCUA